rnacentral:rRNA from 1 species
GAUGAACGCUGGCGGCGUGCCUAAUACAUGCAAGUCGAGCGAAUGGAUUAAGAGCUUGCUCUUAUGAAGUUAGCGGCGGACGGGUGAGUAACACGUGGGUAACCUGCCCAUAAGACUGGUAUAACUCCGGGAAGCCGGGGCUAAUACCGGAUAACAUUUUGAACCGCAUGGUUCGAAAUUGAAAGGCGGCUUCGGCUGCCACUUAUGGAUGGACCCGCGUCGCAUUAGCUAGUUGGAUAGGUAACGGCUCACCAAGGCAACGAUGCGUAGCCGACCUGAGAGGGUGAUCGGCCACACUGGGACUGAGACACGGCCCAGACUCCUACGGGAGGCAGCAGUAGGGAAUCUUCCGCAAUGGACGAAAGUCUGACGGAGCAACGCCGCGUGAGUGAUGAAGGCUUUCGGGUCGUAAAACUCUGUUGUUAGGGGAGAACAAGUGCUAGUUGACUAAGCUGGCACCUUGACGGUACCUAACCAGAAAGCCACGGCUAACUACGUGCCAGCCGCCGCAGUAA